rnacentral:rRNA from 1 species
GAUGAACGCUGGCGGCGUGCUUAACACAUGCAAGUCGAGCGAGUGAGUUCUUCGGAACGAUCUAGCGGCGGACGGGUGAGUAACACGUGGGCAACCUGCCUCAUAGAGGGGAAUAGCCUCCCGAAAGGGAGAUUAAGACCGCAUAAAAUUAUCAAGUGGCAUCACAUGAUAAUCAAAGGAGUAAUCCGCUAUGAGAUGGGCCCGCGGCGCAUUAGCUAGUUGGUGAGGUAACGGCUCACCAAGGCGACGAUGCGUAGCCGACCUGAGAGGGUGAUCGGCCACAUUGGGACUGAGACACGGCCCAGACUCCUACGGGAGGCAGCAGUGGGGAAUAUUGCACAAUGGGGGAAACCCUGAUGCAGCAACGCCGCGUGAGUGAUGAAGGUCUUCGGAUUGUAAGGCUCUGUCUUUGGGGACGAUAAUGACGGUACCCAAGGAGGAAGCCACGGCUAACUACGUGCCAGCCGCCGCUGUAA